UGGGGGAUAUUGCACAAUGGGCGAAAGCCUGAUGCAGCGACGCCGCGUGGGGGAUGAAGGCCUUCGGGUUGUAAACUUCUUUUGCUCUGAACAAGGCGCACCAUGGGGUGUGUUGAGUGUAGGGGUUGAUUAGCGCCGGCUAACUACGUGCCAGCAGCCGCGGUAAUACGGCGGGCGCGAGCGUUGUCCGGAAUUAUUGGGCGUAAAGGGCUUGUAGGUGGCUGGUUGCGUCUGUCGUGAAAGCUCAUGGCUUAACUGUGGGUUUGCGGUGGGUACGGGCUGGCUUGAGUGCAGUAGGGGAGGCUGGAAUUCCUGGUGUAGCGGUGGAAUGCGCAGAUAUCAGGAGGAAUACCGGUGGCGAAGGCGGGUCUCUGGGCUGUUACUGACACUGAGGAGCGAAAGCAUGGGGAGCGAACAGG
rnacentral:rRNA from 1 species